UACGUAGGGGCGCAAGCGUUGUCCGGAAUUAUUGGGCGUAAAGAGCUCGUAGGCGGUUUGUCGCGUCUGUCGUGAAAGCUUGGGGCUUAACCCCAAGUCUGCGGUGGAUACGGGCAGACUAGAGGCAGGUAGGGGAGAACGGAAUUCCCGGUGUAGCGGUGAAAUGCGCAGAUAUCGGGAGGAACACCGGUGGCGAAGGCGGUUCUCUGGGCAUGUCCUGACGCUGAGGAGCGAAAGUGUGGGGAGCGAACAGG
rnacentral:rRNA from 1 species